rnacentral:rRNA from 1 species
UACAGAGGGUGCGAGCGUUUGUCCGGAAUCACUGGGCGUAAAGGGCGCGUAGGUGGCGCGACAAGUCAGUGGUGAAAGUUCGACGCUCAACGUCGAAUCGGCCACUGAUACUGUUGGGCUUGAGCACUGUAGAGGCUAAUGGAAUUCCGGGUGUAGCGGUGGAAUGCGUAGAGAUGUGGAGGAACACCAGUGGCGAAGGCGACUUUCUGGCUUAUAACUGACGCUGAGGCGCGAAAGCGUGGGGGAGCAAACAGG